rnacentral:rRNA from 1 species
CAGUCGUACCGGCGGAUAAUCAGCCUUUCGGGUGCGAUUCUGUGGGGCGUGAGGAGCUUAACCGCCUUCAUGUUUUGCAUAUUCGUGCACAUUUGGCGUACUUGUCCGUGUGGUGGGUUAACAUCAAUUUCGGUCGUCAUAAAAUGACUGGAGGAAUGUAGCUUCGAUCUUGUAUUGAAGUGUUAUAGCCUUGGUAGAUGUGAUGAUCGAGAUUGAGGAUUGCAACGGACUACCCGUUCGGGCUACCUGUCUGGUCUCUG